rnacentral:rRNA from 1 species
GACGAACGCUGGCGGCGUGCCUAAUACAUGCAAGUAGAACGCUGAAGGAGGAGCUUGCUCUUCUGGAUGAGUUGCGAACGGGUGAGUAACGCGUAGGUAACCUGCCUGGUAGUGGGGGAUAACUAUUGGAAACGAUAGCUAAUACCGCAUAAUAACAGUUGUUGCAUGACAACUGUUUGAAAGGUGCAAUUGCAUCACUACCAGAUGGACCUGCGUUGUAUUAGCUAGUUGGUGGGGUAACGGCUCACCAAGGCGACGAUACAUAGCCGACCUGAGGGGGUGAUCGGCCACACUGGGACUGAGACACGGCCCAGACUCCUACGGGAGGCAGCAGUAGGGAAUCUUCGGCAAUGGACGAAAGUCUGACCGAGCAACGCCGCGUGAGUGAAGAAGGUUUUCGGAUCGUAAAGCUCUGUUGUAAGAUAAGAACGAGUGUGAGAGUGGAAAG